GCCGGAGUGGCGGAAUAGGCAGACGCCCUGGACUUAAAAUCCAGUGAUCGCAAGAUCGUACCGGUUCGACCCCGGUCUCCGGUACCA
rnacentral:tRNA from 1 species